GACUCGGUGAAAUAGUAGUGGCGGUGAAGAUGCCGCCUACCCGCAGCAAGACGGAAAGACCCCGUGGACCUUUACUGCAGGUUUGUACUGGUCACGAACGUGUGAUGCGUAGGAUAGGUGGGAGGCUUUGAAGCUGGGAUCUCGGUCCUGGUGGAGCCAACCUUGAAAUACCACCCUUUGCUCGUUUGUGGCCUAACCCCGAUUCCCAUGAAGCUGGGCGGGGGACCGUGCAUGCCGGGCGGUUUGACUGGGGCGGUCUCCUCCUAAAGAGUAACGGAGGAGCGCAAAGGUUGGCUCAGCGUGGUUGGAAACCACGUUUCGAGUGCAAGAGCAUAAGCCAGCUUUACUGCAAGACAUACACGUCAAGCAGUCACGAAAGUGGGCUCUAGUGAUCCGGUAGUCCCGUGUGGAAGGGCUAUCGCUCAACGGAUAAAAGGUACUCCGGGGAUAACAGGCUGAUACCGCCCAAGAGUUCACAUCGACGGCGGUGUUUGGCACCUCGAUGUCGGCUCAUCACAUCCUGGGGCUGAAGCCGGUCCCAAGGGUAUGGCUGUUCGCCAUUUAAAGUGGUACGUGAGCUGGGUUUAGAACGUCGUGAGACAGUUCGGUCCCUAUCUACCGUGGGUGUAGGAGAAUUGAGAGGAUCUGCCCCUAGUACGAGAGGACCGGGGUGGACAUAUCUCUGGUGGACCUGUUGUUACGCCAGUAGCAUAGCAGGGUAGCUAAAUAUGGACGGGAUAACCGCUGAAGGCAUCUAA
rnacentral:rRNA from 14 species